AGUCUUAUAUUCAUUGUAUGAUAAUAAAUUGCAAAUUUAUAGGUAAGUUAAUUUUAAGGCUU
rnacentral:tRNA from 1 species